GACGAACGCUGGCGGCGUGCUUAACACAUGCAAGUCGAACGGAAAGGCCCUGCUUUUGUGGGGUGCUCGAGUGGCGAACGGGUGAGUAACACGUGAGUAACCUGCCCUUGACUUUGGGAUAACUUCAGGAAACUGGGGCUAAUACCGGAUAGGAGCUCCUGCUGCAUGGUGGGGGUUGGAAAGUUUCGGCGGUUGGGGAUGGACUCGCGGCUUAUCAGCUUGUUGGUGAGGUAGUGGCUUACCAAGGCUUUGACGGGUAGCCGGCCUGAGAGGGUGACCGGCCACAUUGGGCCUGAGAUACGGACCAGACUCCUACGGGCGGCAGCAGUGGGGAAUAUUGCACAAUGGGCGGAAGCCUGAUGCAGCAACGCCGCGUGCGGGAUGACGGCCUUCGGGUUGUAAACCGCUUUCGCCUGUGACGAAGCGUGAGUGACGGUAAUGGGUAAAGAAGCACCGGCUAACUACGUG
rnacentral:rRNA from 1 species